rnacentral:misc_RNA from 1 species
UAGGGCUGCAAGUCCACUAUCAGUAAUUUGGCGGGCAUCAAGAUUAAGUGAUUUAAGAGAAGACAAUCCAGACAAUUUUCUUAUACCACCAUCUGUAAUCAUAGUGAAUGACAGAUUUAUACUCUCCAAAUUGGUCAAACCAGAUAGGUGGCGAAGCCCACUGCUUCCAACUUCAGUAUCUGACAACACUAAGCAUUUCAAACGAUGAAGGCCUGUUAUGUUAGCCAGACCCUCAUCAUCAAUUCUGCAAGAAUCCAAGUUCACGCUCUCCAAAUUUGUCAAACCUUUCAGGUG